rnacentral:rRNA from 1 species
GAUGAACGCUGGCGGCGUGCCUAAUACAUGCAAGUCGAGCGAACGGACGAGAAGCUUGCUUUUCUGAUGUUAGCGGCGGACGGGUGAGUAACACGUGGAUAACCUACCUAUAAGACUGGGAUAACUUCGGGAAACCGGAGCUAAUACCGGAUAAUAUUUUGAACCGCAUGGUUCAAAAGUGAAAGACGGUCUUGCUGUCACUUAUAGAUGGAUCCUCGCUGCAUUAGCUAGUUGGUAAGGUAACGGCUUACCAAGGCAACGAUGCAUAGCCGACCUGAGAGGGUGAGCGGCCACACUGGAACUGAGACACGGUCCAGACUCCUACGGGAGGCAGCAGUAGGGAAUCUUCCGCAAUGGGCGAAAGCCUGACGGAGCAACGCCGCGUGAGUGAUGAAGGUCUUCGGAUCGUAAAACUCUGUUAUUAGGGAAGAACAUAUGUGUAAGUAACUGUGCACAUCUUGACGGUACCUAAUCAGAAAGCCACGGCUAACUACGUG